UAGUUAGAUAAACAUUUUAUAUGACGAGGCGGUACGUUUUAGGUUCGAAGUCGUCAAUAAAAUUAGAAGGGUCGGCGGGGCGAUGAGAAACAC